UGGCGACCGGCGCACGGGUGAGUAACACGUAUCCAACCUGCCGAUGACUCGGGGAUAGCCUUUCGAAAGAAAGAUUAAUACCCGAUGGCAUAGUUCUUCCGCAUGGUAGAACUAUUAAAGAAUUUCGGUCAUCGAUGGGGAUGCGUUCCAUUAGGUUGUUGGCGGGGUAACGGCCCACCGAGCCUUCGAUGGAUAGGGGUUCUGAGAGGAAGGUCCCCCACAUUGGAACUGAGACACGGUCCAA
rnacentral:rRNA from 1 species